rnacentral:rRNA from 1 species
GACGAACGCUGGCGGCGUGCCUAAUACAUGCAAGUAGAACGCUGAAGAGAGGAGCUUGCUCUUCUUGGAUGAGUUGCGCACGGGUGAGUAACGCGUAGGUAACCUGCCUUGUAGCGGGGGAUAACUAUUGGAAACGAUAGCUAAUACCGCAUAACAAUGGAUGACACAUGUCAUUUAUUUGAAAGGGGCAAUUGCUCCACUACAAGAUGGACCUGCGUUGUAUUAGCUAGUAGGUGAGGUAAUGGCUCACCUAGGCGACGAUACAUAGCCGACCUGAGAGGGUGAGCGGCCACACUGGGACUGAGACACGGCCCAGACUCCUACGGGAGGCAGCAGUAGUGAAUCUUCGGCAAUAGGGGCAAACCUGACCGAGCAACGCCGCGGGAGUGAAGAAGGGUGUCGGAUCGUAAAGCUCUGUUGUAAGUCAAGAACGGGUGUGAGAGUGGAAAGUUCACACUGUGACGGUAGCUGACCAGAAAGGGACGGCUAACUACGUG